rnacentral:rRNA from 1 species
CUUGCGGGGUGCUUUAACAUGCAGUCGAACGGCAGCACGAGUAGAGCUUGCUCUCUUGGUGGCGAGUGGCGGACGGGUGAGUAAUGUAUCGGAACGUGCCCAGUAGCGGGGGAUAACUACUCGAAAGAGUGGCUAAUACCGCAUACGCCCUACGGGGGAAAGGGGGGGAUCGCAAGACCUCUCACUAUUGGAGCGGCCGAUAUCGGAUUAGCUAGUUGGUGGGGUAAAGGCUUACCAAGGCAACGAUCCGUAGCUGGUUUGAGAGGACGACCAGCCACACUGGGACUGAGACACGGCCCAGACUCCUACGGGAGGCAGCAGUGGGGAAUUUUGGACAAUGGGGGAAACCCUGAUCCAGCCAUCCCGCGUGUGUGAUGAAGGCCUUCGGGUUGUAAAGCACUUUUGGCAGGGAAGAAAUGGUAUCUCCUAAUAACCUCUGCUGAUGACGGUAUCUGUAGAAUAAGCACCGGCUAACUACGUGCCAGCAGCCGCGGUAAUACGUAGGGUGCAAGCGUUAAUCGGAAUUACUGGGCGUAAAGGGUGCGUAGGCGGCUCGGAAAGAAAGAUGUGAAAUCCCAGGGCUCAACCUUGGAACUGCAUUUUUAACUGCCUAGCUAGAGUAUGUCAGAGGGGGGUAGAAUUCCACCCGUAGCAGUGAAAUGCAU